UACGUAGGGGGCAAGCGUUGUCCGGAAUCAUUGGGCGUAAAGCGCACGUAGGCGGUCCGGCAAGUCGGGUGUGAAAGCCCUCGGCUCAACCGAGGAAGUGCAUUCGAAACUACCGGACUUGAAUACUGGAGAGGGUUGCGGAAUUCCCGGUGUAGAGGUGAAAUUCGUAGAUAUCGGGAGGAACACCAGUGGCGAAGGCGGCAACCUGGACAGAUAUUGACGCUGAGGUGCGAAAGCGUGGGGAGCAAACAGG
rnacentral:rRNA from 1 species